rnacentral:rRNA from 1 species
CCUACGGGAGGCAGCAGUGGGGAAUAUUGGACAAUGGGCGCAAGCCUGAUCCAGCCAUGCCGCGUGUGUGAAGAAGGCCUUCGGGUUGUAAAGCACUUUUAUCCGGAAAGAAAAGCUUUGGGUUAAUACCCUGAAGUCAUGACGGUACCGGAAGAAUAAGCACCGGCUAACUUCGUGCCAGCAGCCGCGGUAAUACGAAGGGUGCAAGCGUUACUCGGAAUUACUGGGCGUAAAGCGUGCGUAGGUGGUUUGUUAAGUCUGAUGUGAAAGCCCUAGGCUCAACCUGGGAAUUGCAUUGGAUACUGGCAGGCUAGAGUGCGGUAGAGGAUAGUGGAAUUCCCGGUGUAGCAGUGAAAUGCGUAGAGAUCGGGAGGAACAUCUGUGGCGAAGGCGACUAUCUGGGCCAGCACUGACACUGAGGCACGAAAGCGUGGGGAGCAAACAGGAUUAGAUACCCUGGUAGUCCACGCCCUAAACGAUGCGAACUGGAUGUUGGGUGCAACUAGGCACUCAGUAUCGAAGCUAACGCGUUAAGUUCGCCGCCUGGGGAGUACGGUCGCGAAGACUGAAACUCAAAAGAGUAGUUAGGACGUCGUUAGGACGAGUUCGACCGGAGGACCGACGACGGGAGGGUAGGAGG